rnacentral:miRNA from 1 species
ACGAAUCGUCUGAUCAAACUUCU